UAGGGAAUCUUCCACAAUGGACGCAAGUCUGAUGGAGCAACGCCGCGUGAGUGAAGAAGGCUUUCGGGUCGUAAAACUCCGUUAUUGAAGAAGAACGUGUGUGACAGUAACUGGUCAUGCAGUGACGGUAUUCAAUCAGAAAGUCACGGCUAACUACGUGCCAGCAGCCGCGGUAAUACGUAGGUGGCAAGCGUUGUCCGGAUUUAUUGGGCGUAAAGCGAGUGCAGGCGGUCUUUUAAGUCUGAUGUGAAAGCCUUCGGCUUAACCGAAGAAGGGCAUCGGAAACUGGGAGACUUGAGUGCAGAAGAGGAGAGUGGAACUCCAUGUGUAGCGGUGAAAUGCGUAGAUAUAUGGAAGAACACCAGUGGCGAAGGCGGCUCUCUGGUCUGUAACUGACGCUGAGGCUCGAAAGCGUGGGUAGCAAACAGGAUUAGAUACCCUGGUAGUC
rnacentral:rRNA from 1 species